rnacentral:rRNA from 1 species
GCUAUACUGCAAGUCGAGCGGACAGAUGGGAGCUUGCUCCCUGAUGUUAGCGGCGGACGGGUGAGUAACACGUGGGUAACCUGCCUGUAAGACUGGGAUAACUCCGGGAAACCGGGGCUAAUACCGGAUGGUUGUUUGAACCGCAUGGUUCAGACAUAAAAGGUGGCUUCGGCUACCACUUACAGAUGGACCCGCGGCGCAUUAGCUAGUUGGUGAGGUAACGGCUCACCAAGGCAACGAUGCGUAGCCGACCUGAGAGGGUGAUCGGCCACACUGGGACUGAGACACGGCCCAGACUCCUACGGGAGGCAGCAGUAGGGAAUCUUCCGCAAUGGACGAAAGUCUGACGGAGCAACGCCGCGUGAGUGAUGAAGGUUUUCGGAUCGUAAAGCUCUGUUGUUAGGGAAGAACAAGUGCCGUUCAAAUAGGGCGGCACCUUGACGGUACCUAACCAGAAAGCCACGGCUAACUACGUGCCAGCAGCCGCGGUAAUACGUAGGUGGCAAGCGUUGUCCGGAAUUAUUGGGCGUAAAGGGCUCGCAGGCGGUUUCUUAAGUCUGAUGUGAAAGCCCCCGGCUCAACCGGGGAGGGUCAUUGGAAACUGGGGAACUUGAGUGCAGAAGAGGAGAGUGGAAUUCCACGUGUAGCGGUGAAAUGCGUAGAGAUGUGGAGGAACACCAGUGGCGAAGGCGACUCUCUGGUCUGUAACUGACGCUGAGGAGCGAAAGCGUGGGGAGCGAACAGGAUUAGAUACCCUGGUAGUCCACGCCGUAAACGAUGAGUGCUAAGUGUUAGGGGGUUUCCGCCCCUUAGUGCUGCAGCUAACGCAUUAAGCACUCCGCCUGGGGAGUACGGUCGCAAGACUGAAACUCAAAGGAAUUGACGNGGGCCCGCACAAGCGGUGGAUCAUGUGGCUUUAUUUCGAAGCUAUGCAUAGAACCUUACCAGGUCUUGACCUCUUCUGAACAUC